CACGUAGGGCGCAAGCGUUGUCCGGAAUUAUUGGGCGUAAAGAGCUCGUAGGCGGUCCGUCACGUCCGCUGUGAAAACCCAGGGCUCAACCCUGGGCUUGCAGUGGAUACGGGCAGACUAGAGGUAGGUAGGGGAGAAUGGAAUUCCCGGUGUAGCGGUGAAAUGCGUAGAUAUCAAGAGGAACACCUGCGGCGAAGGCGGGUUGCUGGGCCGACACUGACGCUGAAGCGCGAAAGCUAGGGGAGCGAACGGG
rnacentral:rRNA from 1 species